rnacentral:rRNA from 1 species
GACGAACGCUGGCGGCGUGCUUAACACAUGCCAGUCGAACGGAAAGGCCCUGCUUUUGUGGGGUGCUCGAGUGGCGAACGGGUGAGUAACACGUGAGUAACCUGCCCUUGACUUUGGGAUAACUUCGGGAAACUGGGGCUAAUACCGGGUAGGAGCUCCUGCUGCAUGGUGGGGGUUGGAAAGUUUCGGCGGUUGGGGAUGGACUCGCGGCUUAUCAGCUUGUUGGUGGGGUAGUGGCUUACCAAGGCUUUGACGGGUAGCCGGCCUGAGAGGGUGACCGGCCACAUUGGGACUGAGAUACGGCCCAGACUCCUACGGGAGGCAGCAGUGGGGAAUAUUGCACAAUGGGCGGAAGCCUGAUGCAGCAACGCCGCGUGCGGGAUGACGGCCUUCGGGUUGUAAACCGCUUUCGCCUGUGACGAAGCGUGAGUGACGGUAAUGGGUAAAGAAGCACCGGCUAACUACGUG